AUGAGCUCACGAGAAGCUACCCUCUCAUCUGGUUAUACUUUAAAAUGUGAUUAUUUUUUUUCAGGAAAAGAACAAGAGGACACGUCUGGCAGAAGCCUGGAACCUCCAUCCCCCAUCCUACCAGAAGAUACUGUACAACCGCAGGUCACCCAACAGUCUCCAUCCAUCUGCCACUGGCCCGCCUGUCGUCAAAUUUUAAAAUGCAAUGCGGCCCCUGUGUCUAACAGUUUGCCCAUGUCUGAUAUACAUACAUUAUAUAUAGUGUACAAUAUAAUAUAUAAACAUUUCUUGGAGCUCCACAAGAAACUUUUCCUUCAAAAAGGGCCCCACAGCUGAAAAAGUUUGAGAACCCUGGAACAGAAUGUUCAUUCUGCAUCUUAACUUUGGAGAGAGAGAGAGGCAAGUACAUCUACCAUUUGCAUUUUUAAGAAACGAGAAAACCAAGACUUCUUUGUUCAUCUGUAUGCUGUACAUUAUUACAAACUGGAUGGUGUACCCAACACACCAUGAAUCCUACAUGCAGUUUACAUCACAUCAUCUCAAAAGGCCUUUGGCCGAACUGGAAAAAUGUGCAGAGAAGUGAUCCGUCAUGGCUAAUCUUCCAUACAAAGAAAGGCUGGAAAGGUUAGGACUUGAGAUUAUAAAUAUCAUUUACUCAGAGAUAAAAUGAUACUAUGUAGGAUUUAAGUAAUGGAUCCAGCUCAAUGAUUUGUUUGUUUUUCACGCUGACUGUUAGGUAAGUUUAUGGUUCAGUGAAAUAAAACAGCAAUUUGUUUGCAAAGGUGUCAGGAAGCAUGAAUGUGUGUUAUUACUCCAUCUUGCACAUUUCACGGACUAAGUUUCUAACAUGUACUUCCAGAUCUUAAAAGUCUUGGCAUGAGGUUUUAUCAUGUGCUUCCCAUUAGCAUCAGAAGGGAGAGGGGGGAAAUCACAUGUUAAACCCUUCAACUAUUUUGGAAAAUGUUACUUCCUCAGUUCUGUUCUAGAAGUGAGGGAGGAGUAAAAAAUGGAACUUGAUUUUCAGUUUAAUAACUUUUAGUAUAUGAUCACUAUCUGCUUACAGCAUAUUUUGGCUUUGGCUUUUAAAUGUGGAAAGCAACCUGGAGAAUGGAGAUCAUUAGUGUGUAGACAGAAAAAAGAAAUGAAAAAAGACAUCUUCACUGCAGCACCCAAAAUCCUUGCUUACAUAAGUAAAUAAUAUAUGGCACCAUAUGAGACAUUUUUAAGAAACCUUUUUGGUGUGAGCUGAGCAACCUUUGAAUCACUUAAGGUGCCUAUUGCAAGCAAGGUGCCUGAUAUUUUUAGCACCAAAUCAGAGGUCCAUUCUCAUUAUGAUACUAGAUGAAUAAUAAUAAUAAUAAUAAUAAUAAUAAUAAUAAUAAUAAUAAUAAUAAUAAUGGUGCCCCGGUGGCGCAGUGUGUUAAAGCGCUGACUGCUGAACUUGCAAACCGAAAGGUCACAGGUUUGAAUUCCGGGAGCGGAGUGAGCGCCCGCUAUUAGCUCCAGCUUCUGCCAACCUAGCAGUUCGAAAACAUGCAAAUGUGAAUAGAUCAAUAGGUACCACUCCGGCGGGAAGGUAAUGGCACUCCAUGCAGUCAUGCCGGCCACAUGACCUUGGAGGUGUCUAUGAACAAUGCCGUCUCUUCGACUUAGACAUGGAGAUGAGCACCAACCCCCAGAGUCAGACACGACUGGACUUAACGCCAGGGGAAACCUUUACUUUUACCUUUAUUAUUAUUAUUAUUAUUAAAAAAUAAUAAUAAUAUAUCUUGUUUGCUAUGUCAUACUUUAUCUUUGUGUCAAUAAUAAUAAUAAUAAUAAUAAUAAUAAUAAUAAUAAUAAUUCACCAAGUACCAUAAUGAGAAUGUACCUCUGAUUAGGUGCUAAAUUAUUAUUAUUAUUAUUAUUAUUAUUAUUAUUAUUAUUAUCCCACUUUAUCUCUCUAAAAAAAGACCCAAGGAGGUUAACAACACUAAAAACAAUAGUUGGGUAGUAGAGGACAUUUCAGCAGGUAUUCCUGGUCUUGCAAACACUACCUAUGAAAUUUCCUUCUUCUACAAAAUCAUUAAAGUGACAGGAAUCUUGUCCCUUAUUUUAAACCUCGCCUUCAUAAACACUCUUACAACACAUGUAUAGCAGACACCAGAAAACAGAUUCAGUCUCCCAGCUAGCUUUUGCUUUUUCAAUAGCCUAGUAAAGACUGCCCAAAAAACAGAACCUAAAGCAAGAUGCCUAUCUGUGAUUCUAAUAUCAUCACUUUUCUUCCCCUGUAAAAUGUUUAUGAUCUUUGCCUGAUGAAGGGGGCA
ensembl:lncRNA